CUCUGCUCCUCCCCUGCUCACAUUCUUUCUCUCAAAAAUAAUAAAAUAAAAUAUUAAAAAAAAAUACUGAUGGAGGAAGAGGCAGACCUAGAGGCACGGAUUUCACCGGUCUGGCAUGGGCCCUGGGUACCGAUGUCAUAAAAAAUUCCCCGAGUCGUUCUACUGUAAUUUGUUUCUAAGGGUUGAAAACCACUGGCCUAGAUGGUGGUGCUUAAUAUAUUUUCGGAGAAGCGGGAAAGCAGAAAAGGCAUCUAGGAAGCUUUUUCCGAUUGCCCAUGCCUGCCCCCUCUAUCAACAUCUUAGCGAAGGGGCUGUGCCUAUAGCUUAAAAAGCCUGAUUCUGAUAUUCCCACCUCGCUGCGGAGAGCCAUUGGUGGGGUGGAUCUCAAGACCCUGCGUUAACAUUCUUCAUUAUGUAGCAUUAGCUACACACAAGAGAAUAAAUAUAACUUAUAAGUAAGUUAAGGAGAGUAACAAUAAAAGACCUCAUGACCCAUCUGAAAUCCUGGCCUUGCCUCCCCGCGGGAGACAAGCUCUUUCUUCAAUGGGGUCUGCAUUAUUAACAAGCAGGUGGUCUUGGCGCUCCGCUUCCGGGAAACCUAGGUUCUGGGCCGGGGAGGGCAGGGCCCGCAGGUCGGGAGGGUGUGAGGAGGCGGGGAGGAGGAUCAAGGGCCCGCUGUGCGCGUGGGAUGCAGAGCCCGGGGUGCCAGGCAGCGCCUGCCACAGCGUCUGAAAGCAGGCAAAGCAUUUGUUAAAGUGCUAGAGAAAUCCCUUUAGACCCAGUACAAUGGAGACCCAGAUGCUCUCGGAAGAGCCAGGCUUUCAACUGUUUUGUUUUCCCAGCCCUGGCUGCUGCCGCCAAAUUGACAGGCACGCAAUAGCUUAGGGGGCGCAGAGUUCAAGGCCCCGCGGAUCUGUCGGACAAGAACAAAAAGAUGCAACUUGAUCUCUCUUUCUCUCUAGGCUAAUCACUCGGGUGAGCUUUUCCUUAGGAUUAUUAUUCUAUUAUAAAUCCAGAUGCUUCAAGCCAAUCAACUGCUACCUUUCUUAGAAUGUACAAAGUAGGUCAGCGUUGGUCUAUCAGGGUGCACGGCCUCUGAACGAGUGCCACAGGCCGUGUGAAUAAUUAAAUCGACAUGUCCCUGGAGCAGCACUGCAACAGGAGAGCGUUUUCUCUCCCUGGGAGAUGGUCAGCGACUAGAAGAAAGAGGAAGCCCAAGUGUCCCCCUGUAGGAGCACCAAGAGGCAGCUGCUCCCAUGGAUGAGAAGCCUGGAAAAGAUCAGGAGUUACCCACCACCUUGCACAAAGAUGCGUGUGCUGGGGUUUUCAUCGGCUAUAAAGAGCUAAAGGCUCUCGGGGGAAAACCUGCCACUCCUGGCUAAUGAGGUCUCGGCAGAUGACAAUGUGAAAAAUAAGACAAAGAAGGCCAGCCUGCCCUCUGAGAGGCUGGUAGACAGCGUGGUGACAGCAUGGCAUCUGACCUUAGACUGAAGGUCUCCCAAGUGGAGACAGGAGCCAGAAAGCUACGAUUUUGGGCGCGACGCUGGAGCACACUACAGAAUUGACCCCAGCAGGGACCCCGGUGGUAAUCAGAGUCCUGUUGGUGGUAAAUACUAUGGUCUCUCUUAUAUUACAGCUGGGAGUAUUCAUUGUUACAAUCAGUUGGGAAGAUAAUUUGGCGGCCUGUCCUAAAGCUGAGCGCAUGUACCCCUAUGACCCAGCAAUUCUACUCCUAGGAAUGUGCUCAACAGCCAUGUGAUCAUACAUUUGCUGAAAGAUGUACAAGAACAUUCACCGCAACGGUAUUAUUGGCAUUGAUAAUGCCAAUAUGUGGUACAUCAAACAAUAAAGCAGUGAAAGUGAAUAAGUUCAACAUGAAUGAAUUUCACAAAAAUAAUACUGAGCAAAGGAAGCUAAUGCAAAGGUCUGCAUUACAUGAUGUAACCAAAUAAAAAUAAAAAUCAGUUCCCGGCCUCGGCACACGGGUAAGUGAUGUGAUCAGUAAAACAGGCCUACAUACCUCCUUUUCGGUAGCCAUGGAGAUCUAUGACAUCUAGCCUGGAAUUUCCUAUGUCAGCUGCCACAGUGGCCCCAUGAGAGCACCCUCGUCCUUUUAGCAAUACAGCAGGGGCAUCCUGUUCACAUGGGUCUAGUCUGGAGCAACCCCACAAACAGAAGAAACCGAAAGGGAAGGAAGGCACCUUCGGCGAACAGGAACAUUACCUUGGUCCC